UGACAACCAAAAGGUUGUUUUUGGUAGAUAUUAAAGAUCAUGGGUGGGCGGGGCAAAUGGAGCAGUUUUCUACAGUCGAGUAAAAUUCCAGGAAAGAGCUGGGUGUGGCUUUCCUUUAAAUCACAUGAUCAACAGCUUUAAGAUGGAGGCAACUCGCUCAGUGUUUCCUGUUUCAUUCUUAGACUGUGGCGAUGGUAAGUAGCAGCUUUUCACUUGUUACCUGGCAUCUUUUCAGCCACCAAUGAUAGUCAUUGUAUGUUAUCAACAUUUCACUAACUAUGUUUUCUCUCAUGUUUAAAAUAGGCCGACCAAGAGCAAAAUAGAAGACAACAAUUUCUCAAAGGAGGUUCAAAACUAAUGCCUACAAGAUUACCAAGAGGAUGGUUCGGGGCUCUUACAUGACUCCGGGAAGUCAACACUUGGUGGAUGAGAUCCUUCACAGCAUGUUGUUUCUGGGCAAAAUCAACAACAUCCCCUUUUCUCCAGAAGAAAUCUUCCCUAAUCCUUUUGUUUUGGGUUCUUUA